AUGGGCACUGCCCUCACCCAGUCCCCAGCUCUCCUGGCUGUCUAUCUUGGGGAAAGAACCACCAUCACCUGCACAACCAACCCCAAGAAGAACUCCAAGUUUUCUUGGUACCAGCAGAAACCAGGCCAGGCCCCUAAACUCCUGGUGCAUGGCACAUCCACCCUGGCUUCUGGAGUCCCAGCAUGGUUCAAUGGCAGUCAUUUAGGAGAACAUUUUACCCUCACCAUCAGCAACAUGGAGACAAAUGAUGCUGGCACUAUUACUGCAUUGAGUGGCCAGGAGACCACAGUGACACAUUCCCGAAUAAAACCCCUCACAGCUGCAGAGAGCAGUGGCACCUCAUGA